UAAGGAAUAUUGGGCAAUGGAGGCAACUCUGACCCAGCCAUGCCGCGUGAAGGAUGACAGCCCUCGUUGGUUGUAAACUUCUUUUGUACGGGAAUAACCCCUUGCUCGUGAGCGAGGUUGAAGGUACCGUAAGAAUAAGGAUCGGCUAACUCCGUGCCAGCAGCCGCGGUAAUACGGAGGAUCCAAGCGUUAUCCGGAUUUACUGGGUUUAAAGGGUGCGUAGGCGGAUUGGUAAGUCAGUGGUGAAAUCCUGCAGCUUAACUGCAGAACUGCCAUUGAUACUGUCAGUCUGGAGUAUGGUUGAGGUAGCUGGAAUGUGUCAUGUAGCGGUGAAAUGCUUAGAGAUGACACAGAACACCAACGGCGAAGGCAGGUUACCAACCCAUUACUGACGCUGAGGCACGAAAGCGUGGGGAUCAAACAGG
rnacentral:rRNA from 1 species